rnacentral:lncRNA from 1 species
UUUUGAUCAUGAUUCUUUUGGCCCGUUUGGUUUACUUCUGAAAAAGUGAUUUUUAUAGAAUUGAUUUUGGUUUGAAAAAAUGAUUUCUGUUAAAAACUAUAGAGCAUUUAGUUGAGUCUAAUAGAAAAGUGAUUUUAGAAAGCUGUUUGGCAAAUAUUUUUGCUGAAGUAAUUUUGUAAUGCUUUUUAACUAAUCCAAUGGUUAGAAAUGAUCAAUGGGGUUGAUCUAAUGGCUAUCGGAAGCAUAAAGUAGUUGGUGCUUCCGAUUUUUUAGCCCUUAAAUCAACCCCAUUGAUCAUUUCUAACCAUUGGAUUAAUAUUAUUAACCAAUGGGGACCACUCAAUCCUAGAGUGACCACUUAACCCUAAGGGGACCGCUAUCACCCUAACCUAAGAGCUAAAAAAUCGAAAGCACCAACUACUUUAUACUUCCGAUAGCUUAGUAGCUCUACACUAUAUAUAUAUAUAUAUAUAUAGCAGGACUGCUGUGCUCUCAGGAGCAUGGAGGUCUCCGUGCUCCUGAGCCAUUUUUGAUGAUAGAAUUUUCGAAUCGACGAUCGGCUCCGUUAGACUUGAUCUAGGAUAUUUGAAGUUUUUAGAAAAUAAUUUUUGCCAUUUUUUAAUAUCAUUUAUCUAGUGAUCGAAAAGAUUCAAAAUCAAUAAUUUUUAAUGGUUGAUAUUUGCCGUUUUCAAGUUUAACGGUGUAGAAGUAUUCAAAUCAGAUGAAAUUUUGAUACAAAAUUCUUUAUACUAUNUAU